CUGCGGAGCGCCGGCGCCUGCGCACUGGUACGAAAGGGGGCUCGUGCUCAACUCGCGCGCUAGCCGUCCGACUCGCCUUGCCUCGCUCUCAACUCGCCAGAUUUCUGAUCCCCGCCAUGGACGAGGCUGAGACGGACGCCACGGAAAACAAGCGCGCCUCUGAGGCCAAGCGAGCCUCAGCCAUGCCGCCACCGCCACCGCCUCCGCCUCCCAUCUCUCCGCCCGCCCUCAUCCCGGCACCCGCGGCCGGCGAGGAGGGCCCGGCGUCCCUGGGCCAGGCGGGCGCUGCCGGCUGCUCUCGCUCUCGGCCCCCGGCGUUGGAGCCCGAGCGCAGCCUGGGCCGCUUGAGAGGCCGCUUCGAGGACUACGAUGAAGAGUUGGAAGAGGAGGAGGAGAUGGAGGAGGAAGAAGAGGAGGAGGAAGAGAUGAGCCACUUCUCUCUGCGUCUGGAGUCCGGACGGGCAGACUCCGAGGACGAGGAGGAGCGCCUGAUAAACCUUGUCGAGCUGACCCCCUACAUCCUGUGUUCGAUUUGCAAAGGUUACCUGAUAGAUGCAACCACCAUUACAGAGUGUCUUCAUACCUUUUGUAAAAGCUGCAUUGUGAGACAUUUUUACUAUAGUAACAGAUGCCCAAAAUGCAACAUAGUUGUCCACCAGACUCAGCCUCUUUAUAAUAUAAGGUUGGACCGGCAGUUACAAGACAUAGUAUACAAAUUAGUGAUCAAUCUAGAGGAAAUAAUUUAGUCUGUGUUUUAUCAUUUUUUUAGGAGAAAAAAAGCAAAUGCAUGACUUCUAUAAAGAAAGAGGUCUAGAAGUCCCCAAGCCUGCUGCUCCACAGCCAGUCCCUUCAAGCAAAGGAAAAACCAAGAAGGUCCUAGAGUCAGUGUUUCGUAUUCCACCUGAACUUGAUAUGUCUUUAUUACUUGAGUUCAUUGGUGCUAAUGAAGACACCGGACAUUUUAAGGUAUUUCAUUUUUUGUUUACUUUAUAAGAGGAUUCUGUAGGUAUAAAUUCUGAAUCAGAUUAGCAACCAAGUAGAAAUUAUCUUCAAUUAAAAUAUAAAUGUUUGACAAGUUACUGAAAUUCAACAGUAAUACUAUAGUAGUUUCUCAGAGUAAGAAACAUUGACUAGGGACUUGUUACUGAUUCAAAGAAGUGAAGUAAGGAAAAUAAGUAAUUUACAAAGCCACAUGCCCCAUUGAUUGGUAAUUUUUUUUUUAUAUUUUAGUUUUUGGAGACAGGUUCCUUCUGGCCUUGAACUUAUUAGCCAUGGAUUACUUGGAAUUCUUCAUCCUCCUGCCUCUACCUUCUAAGUGCUAUAGCUACAAGCAUGUCCCACUAGGCCUGAUUUUAAUGUGGUAAUUUAAAAAAAUUCUAAGAGUCAGAUGUGGUAUAACUACUCUAGAGGCUGAAAAAGAGGAUCAAAAAUUCAAGGCCAGCCUGGGCUAUUGUAGUGAGACCAGUCUCAAAAAAAAAAAAAAAAAUUCAAAGUGCUUUUGUGUAGUUGGUGCUUAGAGUUUAACAUGAAUUUAAACUUGUAUAUUUAACAUUUUUGGCUGAAGUUAACCUGCCUUAACUUGUCACUUCAAGCAUUCACUGAGAUUUGAGGUAAGAACUACUUUGUAUUAUACUUUGUCAGUUGUUGAGAUAAAUAGCAAGCUAGAGACACCUACGAAAGUAAAAUCUCUGUGAUACAGACUCUGAUUACUUUUAUUAAGGAAAGGUCAGGGUUGUUUCGUUUGUGGCAUCUAUUUGAAGAGUUUUUUGUUUGUUUUUUGGUGUUUUUUUUUUGUUGUUGUUGUUGGGUUUUUUUUGUUUUUUGUUUUGUUUUGUUUUGAGAUGGGGUUUCUCUGUGUAGCCCUGGCUGUCCUGGAACUCACUCUGUAGACCAGGCUGGCCUUGAACUCAGAAAUCUGCCUCUUUCUGCCUCCCAAGUGCUGGGAUUAAAGGUGUUGGCCACCACCACUGGCUUUUUCGAGAGUUUUAAGGGAAAACCCAUGGCUGUAGAAGUCCCAACACACAAGGCUCAGCUGCCCACCCUAGUGUGACAUUUAGAGAGAUGAAUGGUUGAUGCAAUACUUAACUUGCCUAGCGUGCGUGAAGCCCUAGGUUCAUAAAUGGAGUGUGUUGCAUAUUCUAUGAGUCCAGCACUUGUGAGAUACACGUCAAGUUCAAAGUCAUCGUGGAUUACAGGAGACUCUGAAAAAGAUAUAUUGAUGGAAAACAUUAGAAAGAGGUUUAAUCAGUAUUGCCACAGCAGGAAGAGGAGCAGAUAAAGAGGUUCCAUGACUCAAGUUUGUCUUUAGGUCACUGGCAUAGUUUUUUGUAGUGGUGAAGGUUAAUUGUGUUUUUCAAACAGGUUCUGAUUCUGUAACCUAGGCUAACCUGGAAUUCAUGUAUCCUCAUCUGGCCUUGGAUCCAUGGCAGUCUGCCUGCCUCAGUCUCUGUCUCUGAGUGCCAAUGUUCUAUGUGUGAGUCACCGUGCCUGGCAACUUUAGAUUUAAAUAGAAGAGCUGCUGGGGCAGGAGGCAGCAGGAAUGUACAAUGAUCAAAUUUUGACCAAACUGUGACCUGAUGGGUCAUUAUCUUAGUUCUGGCUCUUGAAGGUGGUUCAGAGCAGUUUUAAUGUCUGCGGAGACAGACAGUUCAGUUCCUGAGAUGAUUGAUACUCUCUGGCUGGAGAUGUCCUCACAGUGGGGUGAUCUUCUGAGGCUCUGCUGUGUCUAGAAAUCUAAGGCGACUGCCCUUUUACUGGAGACCUUCCAAUGCCUCUGAGGAUCCUAGAACAGUUAUUAUAAGAUGGCAGCAGGAGCAGGGGAGGUGCUCAGCAGGCAGAACCCAGAGCAUUCUUGCCAGCACCACACUCUGUAACUCAAGCCACCUGUGACUAGAUUUAUUCUCAUUUUAAAAUUUAAAAAGAAAAACUUCUCUCCCUCUCCCUCCUUCUCCCUCCUCUCCUCCUCUCUUUUCCUUUUUACUCUUUGGAGAUAGGCUUGUGGCUUAGGCUGUCCUUAGCUCAUAGCAGUUUUCCUCUCUCAGCCCCUGGAAUACUGGGAUCACAGGUGUGAGCUACCAUGCCUUGCUUAAAAAGCAAGUGUCCAGACUGUCUCAGCUCUUAGACUUAAGUAAAAACCCCCUGCCUCAGUCUCUCUAGCCGAAACUGCAGACAUGUCUUACCUUGCUGUGGAGUUAGUACUCAAGAGAUCCUCCUGUGUUGCCUUCCCAAGUAGUUGGAACGACAAGCAGGCACUGCAGUGGCUUGGACAGGAUGCCAACCGUCAGCUUAGGCUGAUCGUGAAUUUACAGUCUUCCUGCCUCCCCCUGUCAAGGGUUAGGAUGUCAGGCAUGUCCCAUUGUAUCGGGUGUUUUGUUUUACAUGAGCUUUAAAGUUAACUAACACGCCUUUCUAUUACAAAGUUUGUUGGUAUGUAUCUAAAAGAUUUCCAGAAUUUCUACUUUUUUUAGACUACAAAUUGACUCAAAAUCAUAAAAUCAUCUUUGCUUUAAAAUCUGCUCUAUAAAAUAGCUUGUACGUUUUAUGUAUGUAUACAUUUACAUAAUCUGAAAAGUCUUCUCUGUUUCUGCAGCCAUUGGAAAAGAAGUUUGUGCGUGUUUCAGGAGAAGCAACUAUCGGGCAUGUAGAAAAAUUUCUUAGAAGAAAAAUGGGUCUUGAUCCAGCUUGUCAGGUAGAUAUCAUCUGUGGGGAUCACUUACUGGAGCGGUACCAAACUCUACGGGAAAUCCGACGUGCAAUAGGUGAUACAGCAAUGCAGGACGGUCUGCUUGUUCUUCAUUAUGGUCUUGUGGUUUCUCCUUUGAAAAUAACUUGAAGAUGCAAAGGUAUAUGAGGAGAGAAACCCAGUCGGAGGCAUCUGCAUAUCUGCAUUGCACCAAAGAUUCUCACAAAGCACGUAACUACGACUACUUUCCGCUGUUAAGAGCUGGCUUCUGUUGUCACCAGAACCCUAGCAUUGUGUGUGUACAACUUGAAACAAUAGAAUGUAUUUGCUACACUAAAGACUAUGGAAACAGCACUCAUAACUCAGGGGAAAAAACUGAAAACACUGAAUUUUAAAAUUCCUUGUGAUUCCAAAUAUGAGGAAGUUGCUGGUUGCUUCCCAUCUUUGAGGUGGGUGGGUCAGUUUCCCAGAGCUGGGACUCUGCCCUCCAGCUGCAUGGGCUGGGUGGUUUCCUUCAGAACAGCUUUGCUUUGAGUUCAGAGCCAGUCUGUUAAACCUCGGGUGCGCUCCGCACCGAAACUACUGGCCACUUACAAGUUCCUGUCCUAUUCUGAACUUCAAACAAAAUUCCACUGAUACCACUAAAGCCCUGUUCCUCAGCUCUGAGGCUGAGACUGUCUCCUGUUAGAAAUGGCUCUUCUUAACUAACAUCCCUUAAACAAAUAUGAGGUGCUUCUUUCUGAUGGGACACUGGGUCAGGUGUCACAAAAUUCCCUCAGUGUGGCUGUGAAUGAUGGCACUGCUUCUAACAGUAGCAACAAAUUUCAGGUGAAUGACCAGAAGUUUACAGAACCCUUAUUGUUCCUCAGUCACUUAAAUGAUCUGGUUCCAUGUUAAUGUUUCUGUUUUCUUGCCAUUUGGAUAAAGAAUGAGAGUCUUUGAGAACCUUGCUUUCACAGAGACUUCAUUGUAAACAUUACUUUGCCUAAAAUUAGCAUCCUGAUGCUUUCUAAAAUACAUAUUUUAUAGACUUCAUAGCAAAAUUUCCAAAUCUGUACAGAAAUUUAAAAAAUUAGACUUAAAUUGGCGAUUGUUUUUGUAAAGAAUUUAUGAACUGUACAUAAAUCUCUUCUGACAUUUAAUAAAAAUUUAUUUUAGCCAA